GAUGAACGCUGGCGGCGUGCCUAAUACAUGCAAGUCGAGCGAGCAGACGAGGAGCUUGCUCCUCUGACGUUAGCGGCGGACGGGUGAGUAACACGUGGAUAACCUACCUAUAAGACUGGGAUAACUUCGGGAAACCGGAGCUAAUACCGGAUAACAUGUUGAACCGCAUGGUUUAACAGUGAAAGACGGUCUUGCUGUCACUUAUAGAUGGAUCCGCGCCGCAUUAGCUAGUUGGUAAGGUAACGGCUUACCAAGGCAACGAUGCGUAGCCGACCUGAGAGGGUGAUCGGCCACACUGGAACUGAGACACGGUCCAGACUCCUACGGGAGGCAGCAGUAGGGAAUCUUCCGCAAUGGGCGAAAGCCUGACGGAGCAACGCCGCGUGAGUGAAGAAGGUCUUCGGAUCGUAAAACUCUGUUAUUAGGGAAGAACAAAUGUGUAAGUAACUAUGCACGUCUUGACGGUACCUAAUCAGAAAGCCACGGCUAACUACGUG
rnacentral:rRNA from 1 species